UACGGGGGGGGCAAGCGUUGUUCGGAAUUACUGGGCGUAAAGGGCUCGUAGGUGGCCAACUAAGUCAGACGUGAAAUCCCUCAGCUUAACUGGGGAACUGCGUCUGAUACUGGAUGGCUUGAGUUUGGGAGAGGGAUGCGGAAUUCCAGGUGUAGCGGUGAAAUGCGUAGAUAUCGCUUGGAACGCCGGCGGUGAAAACGGACAGCUGGGGGUGUGCUGACGCUGAGACACGAAAGCCAGGGGAGCGAACGGG
rnacentral:rRNA from 1 species